AGCGAACGCUGGCGGCAGGCCUAACACAUACAAGUCGAGCGCCGUAGCAAUACGGAGCGGCAGACGGGAGAGUAACACGUGGGAACGUACCCUUUGGUUCGGAACAACCCAGGGAAACUUGGGCUAAUACCGGAUAAGCCCUCACGGGGAAAGAUUCAUCGCCGAAGGAUCGGCCCGCGUCUGAUUAGCUAGUUGGUGGGGUAAUGGCCCACAAAGGCGACGAUCAGUAGCUGGUCUGAGAGGAUGAUCAGCCUCACUGGGACUGAGACACGGCCCAGACUCCUACGGGAGGCAGCAGUGGGGAAUAUUGGACAAUGGGCGCAAGCCUGAUCCAGCCAUGCCGCGUGGGUGAUGAAGGCCCUAGGGUUGUAAAGCCCUUUCGGCGGGGAAGAUAAUGACGGUACCCGCAGAAGAAGCCCCGGCUAACUUCGUGCCAGCAGCCGCCGUAACAC
rnacentral:rRNA from 1 species